CGGAAAGGAAGGAAGUUGGGCAGCGGUUUGCUGCGACCUAGGUAAGUAUACAAUAUGUCUGUUGGCGUGGCCGCUUAGGUUAUGUGCAGCCACACCGGCAGAAGAACGGGGAGCUCUGACAGUUGGUCCAUUUCAUUAAAGUGAGAACUCCUCACUAAACAUAUAGGAGCUAACGAUUACCGAUCUUUCCUCUUUUGCUUUCUGACACCCUGGAGCUCCCGUUCACCCUCUAUCCCGAAACGAGACAGCGCACAUCCUGCGGGACGAAUAAGAGAAUACAACAAAGCUGGGAGCUGGAACUGAUAUAUUGACACACUGCAUCAGCAGUCUCUCUCAGGAGAGUAUAAACAACCUGGACUUACUACUCCUAUCAUUCCUAACCACCAGCACGGUACAGUGGGUCUCCAAGCAGGUCAGAAAAACACUCUGAAGGUUAAUAAUAACACAAAACAUAUCAGCUGCAGAGACUCUACACAGCUGUAUGUUUGUACACAGUCUAUAUGUUUUUAUUGUGUUAUAUCUACAUCUGAUAAGAAUCCACAGAAAUUUAUAUUU